rnacentral:rRNA from 1 species
AGUGAACGCUGGCGGUAGGCCUAACACAUGCAAGUCGAACGGCAGCACAGUAAGAGCUUGCUCUUACGGGUGGCGAGUGGCGGACGGGUGAGGAAUACAUCGGAAUCUACUUUUUCGUGGGGGAUAACGUAGGGAAACUUACGCUAAUACCGCAUACGACCUACGGGUGAAAGCAGGGGAUCUUCGGACCUUGCGCGAUUGAAUGAGCCGAUGUCGGAUUAGCUAGUUGGCGGGGUAAAGGCCCACCAAGGCGACGAUCCGUAGCUGGUCUGAGAGGAUGAUCAGCCACACUGGAACUGAGACACGGUCCAGACUCCUACGGGAGGCAGCAGUGGGGAAUAUUGGACAAUGGGCGCAAGCCUGAUCCAGCCAUACCGCGUGGGUGAAGAAGGCCUUCGGGUUGUAAAGCCCUUUUGUUGGGAAAGAAAAGCAGCAGGUUAAUACCCCGCUGUUCUGACGGUACCCAAGGAAUAAGCACCGGCUAACUUCGCG